rnacentral:rRNA from 1 species
UACGAAGGGGCUAGCGUUGCUCGGAAUCACUGGGCGUAAAGGGUGCGUAGGCGGGUCUUUAAGUCAGGGGUGAAAUCCUGGAGCUCAACUCCAGAACUGCCUUUGAUACUGAAGAUCUUGAGUUCGGGAGAGGUGAGUGGAAACUGCGAGUGUAGAGGUGAAAUUCGUAGAUAUUCGCAAGAACACCAGUGGCGAAGGCGGCUCACUGGCCCGAUACUGACGCUGAGGCACGAAAGCGUGGGGAGC